rnacentral:rRNA from 1 species
ACAUGCCUUCAACAUAGUGUUACUGCACUCGAUCCCAUUAGAACUCUGCAAUUAAGCGCGCUUGGGACAUAGUAGUAUUGGGAUGGGUGAACACCUGAGAAGUCAUAAUGUUUUACAUGCC